rnacentral:rRNA from 1 species
UACGGAGGAUGCGAGCGUUAUCCGGAUUUACUGGGUGUAAAGGGAGCGUAGACGGCAUGGCAAGCCAGAUGUGAAAUACCGGGGCUCAACCCCGGGACUGCAUUUGGAACUGUUAAGCUGGAGUGUCGGAGAGGCAGGCGGAAUUCCUAGUGUAGCGGUGAAAUGCGUAGAUAUUAGGAGGAACACCAGUGGCGAAGGCGGCCUGCUGGACGAUGACUGACGCUGAGGCACGAAAGCGUGGGUAUCGAACAGG